CGUCGGGUCUUUCGUCGUUUUCGGGGUGGCCAACAUUUGGGAUCGUUUUCAAAGUUUCCUUGUAAUCGGUAAUCCUUUUGACCAUUCGAUUUGAUCCAGUUUUGAUUUUUGUCACUGUUUUGUCAGUCAGGUAGAGUCGUUCAGUUAUAUUAUUUUACGAUGGCUGCAGCGUGGCGAGUGGCUGGACUUAAUUAUAUUCGUUAUUCCCAGAUUGCUGCACGAUGCGUACGGCAGGCUUUAAAGUCGGAAUAUAAGAACGAAGCCGCAAAGCGCGCAGACGCAAGCGCCCGAGUGACUCGAUGGGAGGAAGGACGCGCGGGAGCCAUGCAGGCUGCCAAGAACUAAGUGACAGGCAAACAUUUUUUUGCAAAAUGCUGGUCCGUUGGUAGAGUGCAUCUUCCAUUUGAAUACUAUGUAAUUACAGCGCGGCCGUGAAGAUCAGUCUGUUGGAGUGUGCAGAGUGUGACGUCGUGUUAAUUAUUUCAUUUUAUGCGUAAAUGCUGGGAAUUUGUCGUAAACUGCCUACAUAAAUAACGACAUGGGUUC